rnacentral:precursor_RNA from 1 species
CGAUCUCCGUUCAGCAAGGUUGCCACUUGUUGAAUGGACACC